rnacentral:rRNA from 1 species
UACAGAGGUGGCAAGCGUUGUUCGGAAUUACUGGGCGUAAAGGGCGCGUAGGCGGCCGUUCUAGGUCAGACGUGAAAUCCCCCGGCUUAACCUGGGAACUGCGUCUGAUACUGGAGGGCUUGAGUGUGGGAGAGGGAUGUGGAAUUCCAGGUGUAGCGGUGAAAUGCGUAGAUAUCUGGAGGAACACCGGUGGCGAAGGCGGCAUCCUGGACCGACACUGACGCUGAGGCGCGAAAGCUAGGGUAGCAAACGGG